GAUGAAGAACGUAGUGAAAUGCGAUAAGUAAUGUGAAUUGCAGAAUUCAGUGAAUCAUCGAAUCUUUGAACGCACAUUGCGCCCGCCAGCAUUCUGGCGGGCAUGCCUGUUCGAGCGUCAUUUCAACCCUCGAGCCCCCCCCGGGGGCCUCGGUGUUGGGGGACGGCACACCAGCCGCCCCCGAAAUGCAGUGGCGACCCCGCCGCAGCCUCCCCUGCGUAGUAGCACACACCUCGCACCGGAGCGCGGAGGCGGUCACGCCGUAAAACGCCCAACUUUCUUAGAGUUGACCUCGGAUCAGGUAGGAAUACCCGCUGAACUUAAGCAUAUCAAUAAGCGGAGGA
rnacentral:misc_RNA from 1 species